AUCAUUAAUAUAUAAAAUAAACAACAAGGGACCAAGCACAGAGCCCUGCGGCACUCCACAAGUAAUUUCCCGAAGUACAGAGUCAGUGUUAUUGAACUGAACAUAUUGAAAUCUUCCCUGUAAAUAACUUAUCCAGUCAUAUGCAAGACCUCUGAUCCCAUAUUUUUGUGAUUUAGUUAGUAAUAUUGCAUGAUUCAUCGUACCCAUCAAAA